CUAAAAUUAAUAAUAGAAAACUUAUCAAUUUGUUUUGUAUCUUAGUUUACUGAGGAUAAGCUCAGUAAAAAUAAUAAAAUAGUAUACAUCUCAUUUAGCUAGCUAUAUGGGCUUGAAAUUAGCCAUUGUGUUAAAGUUUGUUACAAAAUAGUUUUUAUAUAUAGAAAGAUUGAUAUACUUUUUUUACAGGGGUAACAUGAAAAAUCAUGAUAUCUUGAUUCACUUAUGCUAGGAUGAGUAUUAAUGUAUAAAAUAUAUAAACAAAAAUAGAAAGAUAUAUAAAAUAACUUUGCUCAAAACAAAAUAAGAAUAAGGAAUUCAGCAACGCUUAGCUCCGCCUGUUUAUCAAAAACAUGGCUCUUUGUUAACUAAAUAUAAAGAGUCAGACCUGCCCAGUGAAGUUUUAACGGCCGCGGUACUCUGACCGUGCAAAGGUAGCAUAAUCAUUUGCCUUAUAAUUGAAGGCUUGUAUGAAUGGUUUGACGGGAGCAUUACUGUCUUUUUCUUACCCUAUAGAACUUGACCUUUGGGUGAAGAGGCCCAGAUACAGUUGAAAGACAAAAAGACCCUGUCGAGCUUAAAAAGGAAUCAGAAUAAUUUUAUUAUCCAAGAUUAAUUACUGACUAAUUUUUUUGGUUGGGGCGACCAAGGAACAAAAAAGCUUCCUCUAUUUUCUUAGCUAAUAAGCAUGGAUCCAGAAAAAGCUGAUUAAAAGAAGUAGUUACCGCAGGGAUAACAGCAUAAUCUCUCUUGAGAGACCUAAUCGAAAGAGGGGGUUGUGACCUCGAUGUUGGACUAGAAUAUCCCAAAGAUGCAGAAGUCUACUGAGGAUAAGCUCAGUAAAAAUAAUAAAAUAGUAUACAUCUCAUUUAGCUAGCUAUAUGGGCUUGAAAUUAGCCAUUGUGUUAAAGUUUGUUACAAAAUAGUUUUUAUAUAUAGAAAGAUUGAUAUACUUUUUUUACAGGGGUAACAUGAAAAAUCAUGAUAUCUUGAUUCACUUAUGCUAGGAUGAGUAUUAAUGUAUAAAAUAUAUAAACAAAAAUAGAAAGAUAUAUAAAAUAACUUUGCUCAAAACAAAAUAAGAAUAAGGAAUUCAGCAACGCUUAGCUCCGCCUGUUUAUCAAAAACAUGGCUCUUUGUUAACUAAAUAUAAAGAGUCAGACCUGCCCAGUGAAGUUUUAACGGCCGCGGUACUCUGACCGUGCAAAGGUAGCAUAAUCAUUUGCCUUAUAAUUGAAGGCUUGUAUGAAUGGUUUGACGGGAGCAUUACUGUCUUUUUCUUACCCUAUAGAACUUGACCUUUGGGUGAAGAGGCCCAGAUACAGUUGAAAGACAAAAAGACCCUGUCGAGCUUAAAAAGGAAUCAGAAUAAUUUUAUUAUCCAAGAUUAAUUACUGACUAAUUUUUUUGGUUGGGGCGACCAAGGAACAAAAAAGCUUCCUCUAUUUUCUUAGCUAAUAAGCAUGGAUCCAGAAAAAGCUGAUUAAAAGAAGUAGUUACCGCAGGGAUAACAGCAUAAUCUCUCUUGAGAGACCUAAUCGAAAGAGGGGGUUGUGACCUCGAUGUUGGACUAGAAUAUCCCAAAGAUGCAGAAGUCU
rnacentral:rRNA from 1 species